CGGACGGGUGAGUAACGCGUGGAAAACCUGCCGUAUACUGGGGGAUAACACUUAGAAAUAGGUGCUAAUACCGCAUAAGCGCACAGCUUCGCAUGAAGCGGUGUGAAAAGCUCUGGUGGUAUACGAUGGUUCCGCGUCUGAUUAGCUAGUUGGUGGGGUAAUGGCCUACCAAGGCAACGAUCAGUAGCCGGCCUGAGAGGGUGAACGGCCACAUUGGGACUGAGACACGGCCCAAACUCCUACGGAAGGCAGCAG
rnacentral:rRNA from 1 species